UAGUCCACGCCGUAAACGAUGAGCACUAGUUAUGGGAGGUAUUAACCCCUUCCGUGACGCAGCUAACGCAUUAAGUGCUCCGCCUGGGGAGUACGGUCGCAAGACUAAAAACUCAAAGGAAUUGACGGGGGCCCGCACAAGCGGUGGAUUAUGUGGUUUAAUUCGAAGCAACGCGCAGAACCUUACCUAGGCUUGAAAUCCGGAGAAUCUAACAGAGAUGUUGGAGUGCCCCUUGGGGAAUUCCGUGACAGGCGCUGCAUGGCUGUCGUCAGCUCGUGUUGUGAAAUGUUGGGUUAAGUCUCGCAACGAGCGGCAACCCCGUGUCUUUAGUUGCCAGCAUUAAGUUGGGCACUCUAGAGAGACUGCCUGGGUUAACCAGGAGGAAGGUGGGGAUGACGUCAAGUCCUCAUGGCCCUUAUGUCUAGGGCUACACACGUAAUACAAUGGCAAGUACAGAGGGAUAGCGAACUCGCGAGGGGGAGCAAAUACUCAAAAAGCUUAGUCUCAGUCCGGAUUGG
rnacentral:rRNA from 1 species